rnacentral:rRNA from 1 species
CCUACGGGUGGCUGCAGUGAGGAAUAUUGGUCAAUGGCCGGAAGGCUGAACCAGCCAUGCCGCGUGAAGGUCAGUGCCCUAUGGGCGUUAAACUUCUUUUGUGCGGGAGCAAUAAUGGUCACGUGUGGCCAGACGAGAGUACCGUACGAAUAAGCAUCGGCUAACUCCGUGCCAGCAGCCGCGGUAAUACGGAGGAUGCGAGCGUUAUGCGGAUUUAUUGGGUUUAAAGGGUGCGCAGGCGGAGGCACAAGUCAGCGGUAAAAACGCGGGGGUCAACCCCGCCCCGCCGUUGAAACUGUGUCCCUUGAGUGCGCGAAGGGAAGGCGGAAUGCGUGGUGUAGCGGUGAAAUGCAUAGAUAUCACGCAGAACCCCGAUCGCGAAGGCAGCCUACCGGCGCGCAACUGACGCUCAUGCACGAAAGCGUGGGCAUCGAACAGGAUUAGAUACCCUAGUAGUC